CGGACGGGUGAGUAACGCGUGAGAAUCUGCCUCCAGGUCGGGGACAACAGCGGGAAACUGCUGCUAAUCCCGGAUAAGCCCUAGGGUAAAAGAUUUAUUGCCUGGAGAGGAGCUCGCGUCCGAUUAGCUAGAUGGUGAGGUAAGAGCUCACCAUGGCGACGAUCGGUAGCUGUUCUGAGAGGAAGAUCAGCCACACUGGGACUGAGACACGGCCCAGACUCCUACGGGAGGCAGCAGUGGGGAAUUUUCCGCAAUGGGCGAAAGCCUGACGGAGCAAGACCGCGUGCGGGAAGAAGGCCCUUGGGUCGUAAACCGCUUUUCUUAGGGAAGAAGCUCUGACGGUACCUAAGGAAUCAGCCUCGGCUAACUCCGUGCCAGCAGCCGCGGUAAUACGGAGGAGGCAAGCGUUAUCCGGAAUUAUUGGGCGUAAAGCGUCCGCAGGCGGCUUAUCAAGUCUGCUGUCAAAGACUGGGGCUCAACCCUGGGGAGGCAGUGGAAACUGAGAAGCUAGAGUGCAGUAGGGGUAGAGGGAAUUCCCAGUGUAGCGGUGAAAUGCGUAGAAAUUGGGAAGAACACCGGUGGCGAAAGCGCUCUACUGGGCUGUAACUGACGCUGAGGGACGAAAGCUAGGGGAGCGAAAGGGAUUAGAUACCCCUGUAGU
rnacentral:rRNA from 1 species